ensembl:lncRNA
AAUAAAGAUCUGGAGGAGAUAUUCUCUCCAUAAAUUAGGAGAUUAGGGAGACUGCAAUGCCUGUUGGAACCUGAGCAAGAUGUGAUACAUUAACUACUGUAUGUUCAUGCCCACAUUUACUGAGGAGUGAUUUUCUUGGCAAUGCAUCUAAUUUUCCUUGUUGUGGUCCACCUAAGUAGAUAAUUAAUUAUGAAAGGUACCUUUUCCUCUGGACUUGCUGACUGCACAGCCUGGCUGAAUGCCCAUCAUACUGCCUUAUCUUGCUCUUGUGUCGGAGUUCAGGCGCUAACAGGUGGUACCAGAUCGAUGCUGAGCAGUACUUCUGGGGAGGUGACACUCCGCCCUAGUACUUUGCUUACUGAUUUUCAGUUUCUCACAUGAAGCAGAAGCUAAUCAUGAUGUCUCAUCAUCAAAGUUAUUUCUCACUGGACUACUCAGAGGUGUUGUUGUCAAACCUUCCCAGCUACAUUGGUUAAUCCAUUCCAAGUGCCAGUAGUUAUCCUGAGCUCCAUGCUGACUGCUAUGACAUGAAACUUCAGAAUCUGUGCACCUCUGAUGUCAUCAGGAGCCAUUGAUGUCAGAGCGGCUUCUGCGCAGCGUGAAGGUCCGUGUCAACUCAUCACAUUACCUCUGCAUGAAAGAGAGGUUUGCCGAGCAACUUUAUCAAGAGUAACAUUAUCAAGAGCUUUCCUGCAAGCUUCUUUAUCAUAUUCACAUCCGUGUCUGCUCGACACUUGUCACUGUCAAUCAAAUCGCAAUAAUACGCAGAUGAUUUGCUCAUUUGGUUUAAUAAAAUCUCUCUGCUUAUUUGCACUGCAGUCAUUAUGCCACAUAAUUGCUCUGCCGCUGAGGUGAAAGGCAGCCAGUUGCCUGGGGGAUAAGAAGAGACUAUUGCUAUAUGAAGGAUUUGUUUCUUUUCCUCUGUCUCUCCCUAGUCACUCAUAUCCCUAAAAUUAAUAUUGUAUUUGAAUCCAGUCCUGCUAUUCUUAUGCAGGCUAACAUUGUUAUUACUUAUUAUUUGGAUGUGAAGUCAUUUAUUUUUAGUUUUGAUGUCCAAGCUGUCAAGCUAAAUUUCAUUGUGUACUGCCACAUACAAUUUUUAACUGCCAUUUAAACUAGAUUCAAAACCCAAAUUAUGAAGAGAACAUGUUCAAAGGAAUGGGCUGACAGGAAGUAUAGCUACAAUUUUUAUUUCCUAGGAAAUCAAAGUAUAGAUCUUGUUAUUGUUCUGUGGUGGAAAUAUGUGCAGUUUUCAUACCUCAUAAUGGUUUUUGUGCUGGCUGGACACUGUAUUUCAGAAGCAGAAGAAAGGCAGCUAUGUAUGCAUAUGAGCAGCCCUAGAGGUGCAAAACAAAGGCAUCCACUUCUGGAAAUGAUAGAGCACAGAACCAGCUCAACUUAUUGUUGUAAAUUUUGGAGAGAUUUGUACUCCAUUUUCCAGUAGAUUCUGCUAUGAUGGAUGGUGGGAGUAAAAAUGAGGAGUCUGUGUGUGUAAUGCAAGCCUUCGCUCCUUCACUGCAUACUUAAUAUAGCAGUAACUGCCAUAUGAUGACACUCAUGAACCCAUGUUUUGGGCAUGAUUCCGUCCCAGUGGCUUAAAAUAGGAGACUUAAAUACUUUUCUCUCUAAAUGUAUUCCAAAACAGAGAGUACUUAAUGUCGAAAAAUAAACACCAGACUGAAACUGCCCGUGAAAGAAUACAACCAUAUUUAUUCAGAGCUCUUUUGGCAUGUCAGAAGUUGUACUGAUAUUUUAAGGCAGUUGAACCUGAGAAUAUUGUUUCUAUUUGUGUAAAAUCAAUCUAAGAGUCUUCAGAUACAGAAAGAGAUAGUGAUUUGUUGUAAUAUUAACAUGAGGAUAAUUUCUUUAUCUGCCUGAACUAAGAAAGUCCUUGUUUGAACAGAAAAGCCUGUUAACAUCCAGAAGUCUGCAAAAGGACCAUUAAGUCACCUUCAGACUUUGUGCUAGGCCAUUACAUUUCAUCCAGUCAAUGUUAAGCCCAGUAGCUAAGUAAAAUAGCUCUAAGUCUUUCAAACUCAUUCUGAAAUAUUUAAAGUAUUUAUAUCAUUACUUUUUGAAAUUGAUUUGAAAUUGGUUAUAGCUUUCUACACUAGACAAAAAAGUUGUUUAUCUCUCAGUGUUUUCUCUCAGUUUUCUUUUCCUCUCUAAUGGAGUUCCUUCUCUAUAGUUUUUGGCAAAAUUAACAAGACAUUUCACCAGAUUUUUAUGCGUACCUGGUUCUUUGUCUGUUUCUGAUACAAGUAAUGACAUCAGAUAUCUGAGCUAUGUUUGGUAUUAACACUUAUCUUUACUUUUGGGGACGUGGGCAUGGCUGUUGUAAUGGGCAGCUGAUUCUGAGCUUCAUUAAUUUAAUUCAUUUCUUUAGGUAUAAUAUAGGACUGCAUUUCCAAUUGUCUUUGCUAGAGCAUUUGGUAUAUAGCUUGCAUGUUGUUUGAAUGAGCACAUCUAUGAGGGGGAUCAUCCUUUGACUAGGUACCUUGGUCAAUCUAUACUACCGUGGAAUGGAUUGAAAUUGUAUUAUCCAAGUAUGCUAUGGCUUGAAACUUCCGUUUCUGAGAGUAAACUGUAUUAGGUCUGUUAUCAGCCCACUAUUGGAAUCCAUGGUUGUUAUGGCAGGGUAAUAUGAAGGUACUCAAACACAAACUUAGGUGUGAUGAGCGUUUGGAAGAGAUGUUAACUAUUAUAUGCAAAAUGGUUUUCUCAGAUGGAAGUGUAGCUGCUGCGUUACUAUUGUUUUAAUGUUGGCUCACUUUCUUCUUUUUGUAUGUAGUCUCGAUAUUAUUGUUAUGUUCCUGUAUCAUUUCCUUGGGGAUAAGCUGGGGGGAGGGAAAAUAAAACAAACCCUGUAAAAGUAUUUGUGCAUGUUUCCAAAAAAUUAUUCUGAACUGUAGGAGAAACUUGCACCAGGUCGUGUACACCAGAAAAUACACAGAACAAACAAAUUCCUCCAUGCUUUACAGGCAGAACUGUAUGAAAAUGUGACACAUACCUAUAUAUUAAUGAUUUGUGUGAAUAGAGGAAAAGUCUAUUAAUAAAAUAAAGAAAAAGUCAUUAAUAAAGGCAUUCGUGUUAAAACAUCUUACUAACUAAUAAUUUGUAACCAAAUAUUCAG